rnacentral:rRNA from 1 species
ANGNNNUNCAGAAUUCAGUGAUCAUCGAAUCUUUGAACGCACAUUGCGCCCGUCAGUAUUCUGGCGGGCAUGCCUGUUCGAGCGUCAUUACGCCCCUCAAGUCCCCUGUGGACUUGGUGUUGGGGAUCGGCGAGGCUGGUUUUCCAGCACAGCCGUCCCUUAAAUUAAUUGGCGGUCUCGCCGUGGCCCUCCUCUGCGCAGUAGUAAAGCACUCGCAACAGGAGCCCGGCGCGGUCCACUGCCGUAAAACCCCCCAACUUUUUAUAGUUGACCUCGAAUCAGGUAGGACUACCCGCUGAACUUAAGCAUAUCAAUAAGCGGAGGAG